UAAGGAAUAUUGCGCAAUGGGCGAAAGCCUGACGCAGCGACGCCGCGUGGGGGAUGAAGGUCUUCGGAUUGUAAACCCCUUUCGGGAGGGAAGAUGGAAUGGGGUAACCCAUUCGGACGGUACCUCCAGAAGCAGCCACGGCUAACUUCGUGCCAGCAGCCGCGGUAAUACGAAGGUGGCAAGCGUUAUUCGGAUUUACUGGGCGUACAGGGAGCGUAGGCGGUUCGGUAAGCCCUUUGUGAAAUCUCCAGGCUUAACCUGGAACAGUCGGAGGGGACUGCCGGGCUAGAGGACGGGAGAGGAGCGCGGAAUUCCCGGUGUAGCGGUGAAAUGCGUAGAGAUCGGGAGGAAGGCCGGUGGCGAAGGCGGCGCUCUGGAACGUUUCUGACGCUGAGGCGCGAAAGCGUGGGGAGCAAACAGGAUUAGAUACCCAGGUAGUCCCUGAGCGGGCUGGCAAGGCGCAU
rnacentral:rRNA from 1 species